UGAAAUUCAAACUAGAAACAUAAAUGUUCUUUAAAUAAAGAGUUUCCGACCACAGUGCAAGUUAAUUGCCUGACAAACGUGACAGCAGGAAAAGCCGACCGAGUAGGAAGUGGAAGUGGAUGCAUUCAUGGGGAGACCGGGAAAACUGAGAUUCGUUGCGACAAGGACGUUGCUGCAUUCACAGCAGUCGGUACUGACACACAAAGAGAUUUGCGAUGUGCAUAUGGAAGUAUAUAAAUAGAUCCAGGCGGCCGGCCAGGGAACGGAUGCCACGACUGCUGAAACAGAGCCAUCUCGAAUGGCGUCGCCUCUGCUGCCCACCCGAACCAGAUUCGUUUUGGCCAAAACGCCAAACAAGGAGAACAGGAGAGGAGACGGAUUUGAAUGUCACGUUGCAUUCGGAGCGUAACGGACUGUGCCUCGUUAUCGAUACCGCUCGUUAUCUGGCCACUUGGCAGGUGAAAGCGAUAGGGCGUGGGUCGACAUUGACAUUGACGAUGGCCAUGGCGGCGCAGGGUGGCAGGCUGGAAGUGGAGCAUUUUGGGCAUUCGUUUGCCGUCUGCGACAAACAGAGCAUAAACACUCGAUGACGGCAAUUGCUCAACUCGAUUCGCUUGCAUGCAGACAAGGCGGAGGCGAGGCGGGGUGGUGGCUCCUCCUGGCCGUUUUCCUUGCAUGUUCAUGCAUUAGCGCCUCGGAAAAUCAUUGAAAUGGAAAGUGAGCCACCGCUGUCGAUAAGCAAGGACCUUUUAAACCAACUGUGUGCCUCGAAAUAACGUGCUUUGCCAAGUUGCCUUGGUUUUGGUUGUAUAGUAUUAUUUUGUUCUUUUUAGGACAAACAAUUUGCAGUUUCAUUGGUUCUUUUAUACUAAGCACUAUACUGUCACUAUCUGCCCAAAGUUUACUUUCUAAAGUUUACUGUAGUCCGUGAGUCCAGUACCUAUUAAAUCAAUAGUGGAAAAACUAGUGCAGGAUGAGAAGUAAAUCAAUAUUCAAACUAAAAACUUCAAACCCUUAUUAAUAUUUUAAGCUGAUAUCUGGUUCACAGAUUAA